ACUGAGAACCCGAAGGUCGAAGGGUGAAAUUCAUUCGCGUCUCGAGGCAGGCGCGGAACGGUCGAGCGACGGUGGGCGUUCGCGUCCGCCGCGCAUUCCGUUUCGUCGAACCGGCAACGAACGCGUGCACUUUUCACCUGGUAGGACGUCGCGAUCCGUCGAGUGUCGGUCUACGGCCAGCGGUGGAGUCCGUCGGUCGUCUUCGUUGACGUGUACCGGCGAACCCGCUGGUUCCCGGCCGACUCGCUCGACGGUAUACGAACGGUUAGUGGCCGCUCCNNNCUCUYAYAGAGCGUCCGACUCGUGGCAAGCGCGUCAGACGAAUCGAGUACCGGACCCGGUCCGAUCCCGAUUCCUGGCGACUGUUGGCCGCGAAGUUCUCGGACAGACCACGUGUCCGUCUCGCGCGGACAUCGAACCGAUCUGCGACGCUAUAGCUUUGGGUACUUUCAGGACCCGUCUUGAAACACGGACCAAGGAGUCUAGCAUGUGCGCGAGUCAUUGGGAUUUCGACUAAACCUAAAGGCGCAAUGAAAGUGAAAAUCUUCUUUUGAAGAUCGAGGGAAGAUGGGUGGCUCGUUUCAAAGCGACCGCCUCGCAUUCCCGGGGCGUCUCGUUCUCAUCGCGAGAUGAGGCGCACCAAGAGCGUACACGCUGGGACCCGAAAGAUGGUGAACUAUGCCUGGUCAGGACGAAGUCAGGGGAAACCCUGAUGGAGGUCCGUAGCGAUUCUGACGUGCAAAUCGAUCGUCGGAACUGGGUAUAGG
rnacentral:rRNA from 1 species